rnacentral:tRNA from 1 species
GCCGGAGUGGCGGAAUUGGUAGACGCGCCGGAUUCAAAAUCCGGUGGGCUUACGCCUGUGGGGGUUCGAGUCCCCCCUCCGGUA